UCGCAGGUCGCCUGGUGGGAGCCCUGGACGCGGUGCUGGACUCCAGCGCACGGGCGGCUCCGUUCCGGAUCCUGCUCCAGGUGCCCGGGUCCCAGGUCUGCUCUCCGAUCGCGUGCGGGGCGACGCUGGAGGAGGUGGAGCAGCACUGGGACUGGCUGGAGCAGAACCUGCUGCACACCCUGUCCGUCUUCGACAGCAAGGAGGACAUCGCCAGCUUCGUCAAAGGGAAGGUGAAGUUGCAACAUCUUGUGACUAUUUUGUUGGGCGUCACACUUUCCUCCUUCUAAAAGUGGAUACUUAUUCUGAAAAUACACACAUUGAAUGGAUGCAAAGCCAAUUAAGUUUUGAGAUGGCAAGAGAGCCGGAUGGGGCAGUACCUGGCUUUCGGAGAGUUUCUGUCGCUGUCUCCUGUGAAACACCCCUCACAUCACUGCUCUCACAGUAACAUGGCCGGUAGCCAUUGUUUUAAUAACCCGACCAGGCAGAGAAAUGGUUUCUUAUUCAAAAUUUUACUCUUUUUAAAAAAUAUAUAUUUUUAUUGAUUUCAUAG